rnacentral:rRNA from 1 species
AACGAACGCUGGCGGCAGGCCUAACACAUGCAAGUCGAACGCCGUAGCAAUACGGAGUGGCAGACGGGUGAGUAACGCGUGGGAACCUACCUUACGGUCGGGAAUAGCUCAGGGAAACUUGGGGUAAUACCGGAUACGCCCUUACGGGGAAGAUUUAUCGCCGUUAGAUGGGCCCGCGUAGGAUUAGUUAGUUGGUGAGGUAAUGGCUCACCAAGGCGACGAUCCUUAGCUGGUCUGAGAGGAUGAUCAGCCACACUGGGACUGAGACACGGCCCAGACUCCUACGGGAGGCAGCAGUGGGGAAUAUUGGACAAUGGGCGCAAGCCUGAUCCAGCCAUGCCGCGUGAGUGACGAAGGCCUUAGGGUUGUAAAGCUCUUUUGGCGAGGAAGAUAAUGACGGUACCCGCAGAAUAAGCUCCGGCUAACUUCGUGCCAGCAGCCGCGGUAAU